GUGCUCAUUUCAGCAGCACAUAUACUAAAAUUGGAACGACACAGAGAUUAGCAUGGCCCCUGCACGAGGAUGACAUGCAAAUUCGUGAAGCAUUUCAUAUUUUA